UACAGAGGUCUCAAGCGUUGUUCGGAUUCAUUGGGCGUAAAGGGUGCGUAGGUGGCGCUGUAAGUCGGGUGUGAAAUUUCGGAGCUUAACUCCGAAACUGCAUUCGAUACUGCGGUGCUUGAGGACUGGAGAGGAGACUGGAAUUCAUGGUGUAGCAGUGAAAUGCGUAGAGAUCAUGAGGAAGACCAGUGGCGAAGGCGGGUCUCUGGACAGUUCCUGACACUGAGACACGAAGGCCAGGGGAGCAGACGGG
rnacentral:rRNA from 1 species